rnacentral:rRNA from 1 species
CGGAAGAUUAACACAUCAAUAAGCCGAGUAAGAUUUCCAAUAUGAAGAGAAAAAUUUUCAUUUCAAAUAAAAUAAAAAUUUCACAACGGAUAUAUAGAUCUUGCAUCGCAUGAAAAACGAAGCAAAAUCCCAUAAGCAAUAUGAAUUGCAGAAUCUCGUGAAUCAUCGAAUCUUUGAACGCACAUUGCGCCCUAUGGUAUUCCGUAGGACAUGCCUGUCUGAGCGUCAGCUCCCCCCAACUCAAACUUUUGUAAGUUUGGAUUACUUUGAAGGUGUAGCUUGUCAAAGCUGCUUUUCAGAAAUUCAUAGGCAGUAUGGUUAUUCCUAGACCAGACGUAAUAAUAAUAAAACCGUCUUUUUGGAAAAGAAUUGUGCUUGCCUCAACCCACCCAUUAUCUUUUUACUUGGGUGACCUCAGAUCAGGUAGGGAUACCCGCUGAAUUUAAGCAUAUCAUUAACCGGGAGAAAC